GUAUAUUAUAAAACCAAUGCUAUUAGUUAUCGCCGUUCGAAACGGCGACUUUGAAUUCAUGUCGCUUUGUGGCGAUGAAACCAAAACAAAUUGUCUCAUCUCCAUAAAUAAAAUGCACCAUCUGUCGUUAAAUAAUUGUUUCUGUGUACCCAUUUGUACAUUAUUAUGAAAACUUGCGUUGUACAAUUCUGUCUCGGUGAUUGAUAUUUCGUUAUAUUUCCUUUUACACAC